UGAUUAUGAAGUAGUAGUUUAUCCUGGGGUCAUUCCAGCUGAUACGGGUACAAGAGGUGUCCCUGCCAAGAUGGGGUUCCAGCUGGAUCAGUUUUGGAAGACAGUACUUCCAAGCCUCCGUGUCCUGCCAUGAGUCUGCACACCACGCCGACAUCUUGCUUGUUUAUUCUUCUGCCUCCACCACUCAACAGCAGUUGCUGCAUUCACAGCAUUCCUCUUUUCAGCCAUGAUUUGUUACAAGAAAGAAAAGCUGAAGUUCUUCAGCUGGAGAGCUCCGUAUGUCUGCGUCAGUCAGCGGAGUGACUCAGUGUUGUGAUGCUGAUGUAGGUCUGACUGGAUUGGAAGCCUAAAUAUAUAUAACAGAGAAAAACUCGGCAUAGCUUCGUUUGAGAGAAAUUUCCAAACCAGCAUGUAGAUCCCCAGGGCUGGUGCAGAGCGCAGAAGCUUGACUGAAAUCUUGACUUAGCUCAACCUGAAACCACGGGCUGUGUGAAGCAAGUCACAAACCCAUCCCAGACCUGCUCUAAAUGGGUCUGCAGCCAUCAUCUGUGGCCUGCGUGUCACCAAUGCUCUCUCUUGUCACCCCUAGCUAUGGGAUGUUCCCACCUCUGCAACACAGAGGAAUAACUGAAUGAUGUUAGUCUACAAUUUCUCUCCGCAGAGUUGUAGGCCGGAGAGAUGUGGUGAUAAGAAAGAGUGAUGCCUUUAGGCUUGCUUUGUAGGUCACCAAGGUUCCUCUGGAUUUUCAUCACAGAUCCUUCCAAUAUUACACCUAUGGAUGUGAUAUCCAGAACUGUGAAGGUCCUCUCCACAAGAAGUGUUAGUGAGAGCAAUGCAUCUCCUUCCUGAGUCAUGAUCAGAGCAUGAAGUCUGCAUUGCAGUGGAGUGGGAAAUUGGAAAGCAGAGUGCCAUAAAUUUGUACCUGAUCUACGCACAGGGCCUGUGCCAAUGUAGCUGUAGC
rnacentral:lncRNA from 7 species